CCCACCCCCCGCGGGAGAGUGAAGUUGCAAAGUUGGCGCGCGCGCGAGUUAAAGACGGGUAUUGUCCGGCGGCUGCUCGUUGCUAGAGUUAAGAUCUCCUCCCGGUGCUGCUGAUUUGGGGCAGAUGUCUGCAGACUCGGCGGGGUGGGAGCUCACCAGGGAGUCAGUCACCCACCCCUCGGAACCAAUCUGGGUUGGAGAUGUCCAUGGAGGAUCUUUAGGAGAAGGAAGUUGGAGGGUCGAGGAUUCAAAUAUGCCGGCUCAUAUUGCUCUUGGAACCUUUGUGUCCUCCGUUGUCUGUGGAGAUAGUGGUUACUCAUGGGAAACUGGAGUUAUCAAGGAGAUUCAUGCAGCCGCCUGAGGACUUGCCUGUCAGCAGCGAGAGCUGAAGGAAGCAGGGGACACAGACUAACCCUGAGGAGGAAGUGGGCCACAGAGGAUGCUAGACUGUGGUACAAUGACAGCUGGAGAACAGAAC
rnacentral:lncRNA from 1 species